UUGUUAACUGUUGUAGAUUACA
rnacentral:miRNA from 1 species